rnacentral:rRNA from 1 species
UGGGGAAUAUUGCACAAUGGGCGAAAGCCUGAUGCAGCAACGCCGCGUGAAGGAAGAAGGCCUUCGGGUCGUAAACUUCUGUCCUAUGGGAAGAAAAAAAUGACGGUACCAUAGGAGGAAGCCCCGGCUAACUACGUGCCAGCAGCCGCGGUAAUACGUAGGGGGCGAGCGUUAUCCGGAAUUAUUGGGCGUAAAGAGUGCGUAGGUGGUAACUUAAGCGCGGGGUUUAAGGCAAUGGCUUAACCAUUGUUCGCCCUGCGAACUGGGAUACUUGAGUGCAGGAGAGGAAAGCGGAAUUCCUAGUGUAGCGGUGAAAUGCGUAGAUAUUAGGAGGAACACCAGUGGCGAAGGCGGCUUUCUGGACUGAAACUGACACUGAGGCACGAAAGUGUGGGGAGCAAACAGGAUUAGAUACCCUGGUAGUCCACACCGUAAACGAUGAGCACUAGGUGUCGGGGGCGCAAGUCCUCGGUGCCGGAGUUAACGCAUUAAGUGCUCCGCCUGGGGAGUACGUACGCAAGUAUGAAACUCAAAGGAAUUGACGGGGACCCGCACAAGCAGCGGAGCAUGUGGUUUAAUUCGAAGCAACGCGAAGAACCUUACCAGGGCUUGACAUCCCUCUGACAGACUCUUAAUCGGGUCCUUCUUCGGACAGAGGAGACAGGUGGUGCAUGGUUGUCGUCAGCUCGUGUCGUGAGAUGUUGGGUUAAGUCCCGCAACGAGCGCAACCCUUGUCAUUAGUUGCCAGCAGUAAGAUGGGCACUCUAAUGAGACUGCCGGGGACAACUCGGAGGAAGGUGGGGAUGACGUCAAAUCAUCAUGCCCCUUAUGUUCUGGGCUACACACGUGCUACAAUGGCCGCUACAGAGGGAUGCUAAGCCGCGAGGUAGAGCCAAACCCUAAAAACGGUCUCAGUUCGGAUUGAAGGCUGAAAUUCGCCUUCAUGAAGCUGGAAUUGCUAGUAAUGGCAGGUCAGCAUACUGCCGUGAAUACGUUCCC